ensembl:lncRNA
UGCUAGGAGACGGGACGUGAACAGCAGUGUCUACAGUCAGACCCUUUGGACCUCCAACCAGAUUUGCCUUCAAAAAUGUCAUAAACAACCUUAUAAAUACCUUAAAACAUUUAAAUACGAGGCUAGAACCAUAUCUACGUGAUAACCCAGAGCAGGGACAGUACACGUGUAAAGUUUCUACCUCUUUUAUUCAUAAGUCGAGUUCAGAUUGGCUGAUCCGCGUCAUUCCACCACUCUAUCGGUGUAAUAAGCCUGAAUAAAGGCCGGCGCAUGUUUCUGCGUCUGCGUCGUCGUGCCGACGCACUGGUUUCACUUCCUGGUUGUAAAGUCCUGCGUGUGUUGCAGAGCGAUUCACCUCCAGAACAACAAGUGGAGUAACGUGUUUUGUUGAAGACGACCUAGAGAGUCACGUCUUUGUGUGUGGAAGUCGUUGGUUGCUUUAUUUAUUGAUCAUAGACUUUAUUGCCCCGUGCAUCCACACUGCUGCUUUUCAUCACGGACACAUUUGUCCCGUAUUUUCCUCCACGACUUUGUUCCCCUCGUUUGUGGAGAUCUCCCUCCAUGAAUCAGAGGCCAUCCGGCGUCCUCAUAGUCCGCCAAUGACGGCUUGUACAAGUGCUCAUAUUUACGCAUUUCUUCCCACAAAAGCUCUUCAAUCUGAUCCGUUCUCUCGUAAACAUUCAUCCUUUUAAUAACGGCCGUAUUGUGCUGUGAAAACGGAGAUGUGAGACUCCGUAAAGGACGUAGUUAGAGACCAAUCACAGGGUCAAUGGAUGAGACAGUGUCCUUCACAGUUUACCUUCACAAACGGACACAAUCUCUCCGUGUUGUUGUGUAGCUUUACUUGAAAUAGAAACAGCAGAUACAAGAACUUCUAGCCUUCAGAAACCAAUUCUUCUUAUUCUGAUAAAUGCUUUUAGUUAUCUGAAUAAGCAUAAUUCUAUGAAAGGAUGAACUCCUCUUCCUGUCUGUCCAGAUGUCCCCUGUGAAUGUGUCUCAUGCUGCUUAGUUUAGUACCUUGCUAAUGAUUGGACUCAUUCAACACCCUCAACUUCUGUUCUUCAACGUCUUCACACAUCAAACAAUCAUUAAAAGCAACUCAAACAGUCUACAACUUUCCUCUAAGUAGAUAUUUUUAAAUGCUUCCACAUUCCGUCGCUCUGCGAUUGUCUGACAGACUUUUUCUCUCAUGUUCAGCGUAUUGAAAUGUAAGUGUGGAGGCGUUGAAGCGUUUGUGACAAAGUGUCCAUAUUUCAUGUACUGCUGCUAUCAAUGUUCCUUUGAUCAGACAUUUGCUUCCAUCAUCCAGAUUGUGUAUCAAGUGUAUCGGGCACUUUACACUCAGGUUAGAACUUAGAGACUAAAACACGACAACAUUAAUACAAAAACUGACACUAUGUACAACGACUGUCCUCAUUUCUCAUCACCUUCAUUCCUCAUUUAAAUCCUGCACAACCUUUUAAUGACACUUUCCCUCUUUUAGUGAAUCAAUCUCUGUUUUUAAAUCUCAGCGGUUUAUAAUCUUUAUUCUCUCUUCUUCUUCUGCAACGUGAGUCGUAAACUGGGGAGACUGGGGCUGCUUAUCUGAGCUGCUGGGAGCCAGUGGGGGGCCACGUGGCACCAGUUGCUGUUUGGGCCUCGUCUGCUGUGGGGGUUGCGUGAGGGGGGUGGAGGUGAUGUGGAGGUGGGUGGAGCCUCCAGCCGUGGAGGAGCGUUUAGUCGCGUGUCUCCUGGGACUCUCUCUGCACCAAUGUCCCUCCUGUCCACAUAUAUAUGGUCCACCUGUCCUCCCUCGGUUGUCCCUCGUCCUCUGCUGCUGGGUGGUGAUGUCCCCACUGAACGGUUCCUACCUGCUGGAUCUGGGGCCUUUGGGGGACGGGGUAUCGGGCCUUGUCUGUCUCCUGUCUCUGUCCUUUGUUUACUGCUGCAGACGUCUUGAUGUUCACAAGUGUCUUCAGCUGUUUCCUCAUCGUGCUCUCAAGUCCGUCCACUGCUUCUCUUCCUUUGGCCUCCGUCUGCUCCUCCAUCUUCUCUCUGGUGCUACUCAGCAGGUCCUGAGUCGUAAACACGACCAUGAUGCAACCUGGUGCAUCUAAACCCCCC